GCGGGUAUAGUUUAUUGGUCAAAUUCCUCCUUGCCAAGGAGGAAACGCGGGUUCGAUUCCCGCUGCCCGCC
rnacentral:tRNA from 1 species